rnacentral:rRNA from 1 species
CCAGAGUCCUACGGGAGGCAGCAGUGGGGAAUAUUGGGCAAUGGGAGGAAUCCUGACCCAGCGACGCCGCGUGAACGAAGACGGCCUUCGGGUUGUAAAGUUCUUUUAUGUGGGAAGAAUAAAGUGACGGUACCACAUGAAUAAGCCCCGGCUAACUACGUGCCAGCAGCCGCGGUAAUACGUAGGGGGCGAGCGUUGUCCGGAAUUACUGGGCGUAAAGGGCACGCAGGCUGUGCUUCAAGUCAGCUGUAAAAGGAUGCGGCUUAACCGUGUUAUGCGGCUGAGACUGAGGUGCUGGAGUACCGGAGAGGCAAGUGGAAUUCCCAGUGUAGCGGUGAAAUGCGUAGAUAUUGGGAAGAACAUCGGUGGCGAAGGCGACUUGCUGGACGGUAACUGACGCUGAGGUGCGAAAGCCAGGGUAGCGAACGGGAUUAGAUACCCCGGUAGUCCUGGCUGUAAACGAUGAAUGCUAGGUGUGCGAGCAGAGAUGUUGGUGUGCCGCAGUUAACGCGAUAAGCAUUCCGCCUGGGGAGUACGGUCGCAAGAUUGAAACUCAAAGGAAUUGACGGGGGCCCGCACAAGA